rnacentral:sRNA from 1 species
AGACUUGCACAGGGUGAAAGCUUUGCUUCUCUGCUGUUGUAACAGGGACUAGCACAGACACACGGAUGAGUGGGGUCAUUUCCAGGUAUUAGGUCACAGCAGAAGCAGCCAAAAUGGAUCCCCAGUGCACUAUGGGACUGAGUAACACUCUCUUUGUGAUGGCCUUCCUGCUCUCUGGUAAGAACCUUUCAGCUUUGUUAAGUCCUGGAAUCCUACUGUCUCCUGAUGAGUCUGACCACAGCAAGCCCAGGCCUGAGACUUGGUGGGUUUUACUCACUUUCUACUGAGCAUUGUACAAGACCACAUGCAAAAAAGACUUUCCUGGAGAAGAAGGAAGUGUUAUGAUUGAGAGCAGCUGAUGGCAGGCAGCUGGGAUGGAGCUCUCCCCCUGUGUGCUUCUUCCUCCUCUGCAGUCUCACAUCAGUGAGCCUAGAUGCUCAGAGUAGGGUAGCCUGGCCUAUCCCAUGGGGAUGGGGGAAGGCUGCUGCACUGAGGCUCCUGAGACUUGACUCUUUUGUUCCACACAUAUUCUCUUCUGAUCUUCGCUGACCCUGUUUCUGUCUUUCUCAGGCUCCUAGGAAACAACUGAUAGAAUUCCAAAAGUCUCCCUUCAUACGGAGCACUGGCUUUCACGUCCCUGACUUCCCUACCCUCUCUCACUCCCUUCCCUAUAGCCCAUGCACAUAUA